UCGAAUUUAGAUUAAUACGAAAAUUAAUUCACGACUUUAGCAAAAUUCUGAUAAAUUUAAAAGGGUAAUGAUACACUUACCACUCUUUUACCACUAUUUUACCGCUUGUAGUGGUAAGGCUAUCCUUAUUCAAUUUAAAAUGGGCGAAAUUUGUCUCUCUCUUCCCUUCCCUGUGAAAAAUUCUAAGUUCCCUCCCGAGCUCUGGUCUCUCUUCCUCUCUCCCGCCUCGAUUUCAUCCUCUCUAUCGUUGUUCUCGUGAUAAAAAUCGAUCUCCCGUGCGUCGUCUCUCUUUUCCCUCUCCUAUGAAAUUUUCUAACUUCCCUCCCGAGCUCCUCUAUCUUCCUCUUUCCCGUCUCGAUUUCAUCUUCUCUCUCGGCGUCCCGUGAUCCUCUCUCUUGCGUUUGUACACCAAAAUCCAGGAUAACGUCAAAGAGACACCUCACCUAAUUCUUGAUCUGCAGCCACAUCACGGGAGAAGCAAGAUGUGAAUUCUUCAUAUGGGCAAAAAUACUUCAAGUUGAUAGAUGAGAAAAUUAUCACAAGGGAAUAUACAAUUCAGAAGAGGGAGGAUGAUGUAUUAUUGCACGAGUAAACUGAGAGAGAGAGAGAGAGAGAGAGAGAGAGAGAGAGAGAGAGAGAGAGAGAUAUCUUUGCAAGCUUGAUAGUGAAUUUCGAAAGCCAAUCAUUGUAAAUAGAUAUGCACAUAUAUUAUUGUAUCUGUACUGGAAUUUGGUUUGGAUCAACAAUAUAGAGCAUAUGUCAAUAGUUA